rnacentral:rRNA from 1 species
UACGUAGGGGGCAAGCGUUGUCCGGAUUUAUUGGGCGUAAAGAGCGUGUAGGCGGUUAGGUAGGUCCGUUGUGAAAACUCGAGGCUCAACCUCGAGACGCCGAUGGAAACCAUCUGACUAGAGUCCGGAAGAGGAGAGUGGGAAUUCCUGGUGUAGCGGUGAAAUGACGCAGAUAUCAGGAAGAACACCCGUGGCUAAGGCGGCUCUCUAGUACGUGACUGACGCUGAGACGCGAAAGCGUGGGGAGCGAACAGG